CACUCCAGUACUCUUGCCUGGAAAAUCCCAUGGAUGGAGGAGCCUGAUAGGCUGCCAUCUAUGGGGUUGCGAAGAGUCCAACACGACUGAGUGACUUCACUUUCAUUUUUCACUUCCAUGCAUUGGAGAAGAAAAUGGCAACCCACUCCAGUGUUCUUGCCUGGAAAAUCCCAGGGAUGGGGGAGCCUGGUGGGCUGCCGUCUAUGGGGUCGCACAGAGUUGGACACGACUGAAGCAACUUAGCAGCAGCAGCAGCAGCAGGGAAAACCACUAGAUUGUUCAGGUAUGACCUAAAUCAAAUCACUUACAAUUAUACAGUGGAAGUGAUAAAUAGAUUCAAGGGAUUAGAUCUGAUAGAGUGCCUGAAGAACUAUGGACAGAGGUUCGUGACAUUGUACAGGAGGCAGGGGUCAAGACCAUUUUCAAGAAAAAGAAAUGCAAAAAUAGAUAAUAAAGUCUUCCUCAAUGAUCAAUGCAAAGAAAUAGAGGAAAACAAUAGAAUGGGAAAGACUAGAGAUCUCUUCAAGAAAAUUAGAGGAACCAAGGGAACAUUUCAUGCAAAGAUGGGCACAAUAAAUGACAAAAAUAGUAUGGACCUGACAGAAGCAGAAAAUAUUAAGAAGAGGUGGCAAGAAAACACAGAACUAUACAGAAAAGAUCUUCAUGACCCAGAUAACCAUGAUUGUGUGAUUACUCACCUAGAGCCAGAUACCCUGAAAUGUGAAGUCAAGUGGGCCUUAGGAAGACUCACUAUGAACAAAGCUAGUGGAGGUGAUGUAAUUCCAGUUGAGCUAUUUCAAAUCUUAAAAGAUGAUGCUGUGAAAGUGCUGCACUCAACAUGCCAGCAAAUUUGGAAAACUCAGCAGUGGCCACAGGACUGGAAAAUGUCAGUGUUAAUUCCAAUCCCAAAGAAAGACAAUGCCAAAGAAUGCUCAAACUACUGCACAACUGCACUCAUCUCACAUGCUAGCGAAGUAAUGCUCAAAAUUCUCCAAGCCAGACUUCAACAGUACAUGAAUCAUGAACUUCCAGAUGUUCAAGCUGGAUUUAGACAAGGCAGAGGAACCAGAGAUCAACUGCCAACAUCCACUGGAUCAUAGAAAAAGCAAGAGCAUUACAGAAAAACAUCUACUUCAAAAGCCAAAGCAUUUGACUGUGUGGAUCACAACAAACUGUGGAAAAUUCUUAAAGAGAUAGGAAUACCAGACCACUUGACCUGCCUCCUGAGAAAUCUGUAAGCAGGUCAAGAAGCAACAGAACCGGACAUGCAGCAAUGGACUGGUUCCAAAUUGGGAAAGGAGUACAUCAAGGCUGUAUAUUGUCACCCUGCUUAUUUAACUUAUACACAGAGUACAUCAUAUGAAAUGCCAGGCUGGAUGAAGCACAAGCUGGAAUCAAGAUUGCCGGGAGAAAUAUCAAUAAUCUGAGAUAUGCAGAUGGCACCACCCUUAUGGCAGAAAGUGAAGAAGAACUAAAGAGCCUCUUGAUAAAAAUGAAAGAGGAGAGUGAAAAAGUUGGCUUAAAGCUCAACAUUCAGAAAACUAAGAUCAUGGCAUCUGGUUCCAUUACUUCAUGGCAAAUAGAUGGGGAAACGAUGGAAACAGUGAAAGAUUGUUUUUUGGGGCUCCAAAAUCAUUGCAGAUGGUGAGUGCAGCCAUGAAAUUAAAAGAAGUUAAAAGAUGCAUGCAGUAAUUGCAAUGCAUAUGCUCUGGUUGUUGUGUAUUAUUUGCAUACACCC
ensembl:lncRNA